AAGCAUUUCUGUGAAGUCUAACAAUUUAUCUACACAGUAAGUACCAAAUAAAAAUUACGUAAAAAACUCACAAAAUUGAAACGUCCAUGUCUAAUAGCUCAACGAUUUCUCAAAUGUUCUAAAAUAUAAAUCACGUCCAUAAAAAGUAAAUAUAAGUUUGCUGUUAACAUUUUAAGUCUCUGCGAAUAUUUUAACUGAAUUGCGUU